UACGGAAGGCAGCAGUGGGGAAUAUUGCACAAUGGGCGCAAGCCUGAUGCAGCCAUGCCGCGUGUAUGAAGAAGGCCUUCGGGUUGUAAAGUACUUUCAGUCGUGAGGAAGGUGUUAAGGUUAAUAACCUUAGCAAUUGACGUUAGCGACAGAAGAAGCACCGGCUAACUCCGUGCCAGCAGCCGCGGUAAUACGGAGGGUGCGAGCGUUAAUCGGAAUUACUGGGCGUAAAGGGCACGCAGGCGGUUAAUUAAGUUGGAUGUGAAAUCCCCGGGCUUAACCUGGGAAUGGCAUUCAAGACUGGUUAGCUAGAGUCUUGUAGAGGGGGUAGAAUUCCAUGUGUAGCGGUGAAAUGCGUAGAGAUGUGGAGGAAUACCGGUGGCGAGGCGGCCCCUGGACAAGACUGACGCUCA
rnacentral:rRNA from 1 species